UACGUAGGGUGCAAGCGUUGUCCGGAAUUAUUGGGCGUAAAGAGCUCGUAGGCGGUUUGUCGCGUCUGCUGUGAAAACCCGAGGCUCAACCUCGGGCCUGCAGUGGGUACGGGCAGACUAGAGUGCGGAAGGGGCAACUGGAAUUCUCGGUGUAGCGGUGAAAUGCGUAGAUAUCAAGAGGAACACCAGUGGCGAAGGCGAGUCCCUGGACAACACCUGACACUGAGGCACGAAAGCCAGGGGAGCGAACGGG
rnacentral:rRNA from 1 species